CUAGGGGUGGAUUUUUACAGUUCCACUUUGGAUUCGAUACAGCAACAUGGUUUCCACGCAUAGCGGCGGGACGUUGACCAGCGCGGGACAUUUUUGCGUGCUUCUCCAGCACAUCUUUAACCCUUUCAGGGGGCCUGUAUGAGCAAUGAGUGACAACCCUUAGCCCCUAAUUGGCUGAAGGGUGGACAUGGGCCAUCUUACCAGCUUUCCAAAGUUCAGAUAAGGAUUUUAGGUGAUCACUAUCGGAGAGAUUACAGAAGUUCCAGGCUGUAUGCAAAAUGGAGGAUUGAAGUGCGGCCGCUCGGUCUGACACGGAUUGCAUGGAGCCUGCCAAUGUCCACUUCCAUUAAAAUGAUAUAAAAAAAAUGCACUUGCCGAAGAUCUCUCCCGGGAGCACGAUAUGAAGAAAGAUUUAGCAAAUCAACUUUACAGUACUGACCUAAAUAGACAAUAACAGAUGUUCCAAUAUUUAUGGAUGCUGACUUUUACAAUAAAUCGUAUUACACUUACCUUUGGCAGCUGUCUACAAGAUUAAGGCCCAAAACAGACAAAGGCCUGAAUUUGGAAAGAGUGUCUUAUUUCAAGCAUCUGGUGCUCGGCUGACUGCUCCCACUGUUCCCGGCUGUGAGAGGACGUGAUGUGUAUUACAGGAGAAAUAUCCAGCUAUAAAUCUACCGUCUAAAGGUUUCUUGGACAAAUGUGACCCAUUGGUUUGCACUUGUGGAAGAAUAAGAGGCUCGGUUUCCCUCAAAACAUAUGUCCACAAAUCACAAA